CAAAUCACUCUAAACUCUACACGCUUACUUGUGGGUACUCAGUGGCUGAAUCAAAAGUACUCAUUUUCGAAAACUGUGACCAGCUGUCAAAAAAUGAGUAAAAUAUAAAACUUUCACUGAGUAGAAUUAGCUUCAUCCGACAUUUUCAUGUUUGCAAUUUUGAAGACUUAAAGUUGCUCAAAAUGGAAAAAAUCAGAGAUCUAGGGGACAGUGAGUCGUAUGAGGCUCUAGUUGGUAAGUAGAGCUAGCUUCUGCGAGGAUUUCUCUGUAUUUUUGCAAGUUUGUCUAAAAAGGGAUCAACAAAUCCGGAUCGGAGACCUGGAAUUUUCCAGAGGAGCUACUAUUUUCUCCGGUCAUACAGUGGACUCAGAACCUGACUGAUUACUUGGUAUCUGCAAAUAGAGUACCGCAUCUAGUUUGUGAUGCUGAAACGUUUAAAAUUGGAUCAUACUGUGUCAUUGUUGAUGGUGUUGUUGUGUUAAAAAACAGUUCAGAAAUGCUGUAGACAUAUAUUUUAAAACGUUCUCCGUCUUCGUCAUACAAAUUCCAACACUAGUGAAAAUUCUUCACGAUUGUAAUUUACAAAACGAAAAAAACAUACAGCUCACAAAACGGUGCAUAAAAUUGCCGGAGUGCUUAAGCUCUACUUAUGUGAAAACAGAAAUUAUUUCAUAAAACUAAACAAUUUGAAGACAAUACCAAAGAUAAAUAAUAAAGACAUGUAUGUGCCUACAAAAAUUUAAAAAAAUCUGGUUCGUACCCGGUACUUUCUAAAAUGACCGCACUCACCGCUUGGGGGAGCGCGAAAGUUAUUGUGUUGUAAACAAAUCAAGUUGAAGUGUGCCAUGAGUGAAACGAAAUCAAAUGUCAACAUUUCACUCAUUUUGAAACUGUUAUUGUGUAAUCUCCGUUUCAAUAUUUGAACUUCCUAAGCUGCUUCCAGAUUGGCAUAUGUGGUGAACGUUCAGGAGAGCGUUUGGCGACAAUGGUAAGGUCUUCAAUCUGCUGCCCAACGACUUUGACUAGCCAGUUAGGUAAAGUUUUUAGCUAAAUGAAUUAUGGAGAAAACAUCCAGUUCGCUUUCUGAAGGUAGCUGAUUUGGUCAUAGGGUGAAAUAUCGAGACAAGGAUACAUAAAAACAAGAUCGUAAACUACGGGGUUCACUGGCUCUUUUUUUGAGAUCAUCGACGAAGAGAAAUCCGAAUCUCCAAAUGGAAUGAAAAUAUGCAGCUCGAAGCAAAUGUUCAAAGUUCUGUUUGAUUAUAUUCACAAUGAUGCGAAUUCUGUGAUAUACGGACUGCUU